rnacentral:lncRNA from 1 species
CUCACGAUUUUUGAGUAUGGUCUUGGACUUACCGUUUGGUUUUCACUUUUGACUGUUUUGAAGUACUGUUUGGCUUUUGGAGCAACUAAACGCCAUCAAUUCUUUAGACCAGCGUUAGCCUGAACCUUAUCCCGAAUAAAGAUCUCAUUGACUUCUUCCUUCUUGUGGUUCCCAGAAUCUUCCCCAGCUCCAACUCCCGAAUCACCACCCCAAGUAGAUAAGUUUUAAUAUUAAAAAAAAAUUGAUUUGUUCUAAUGAUAAUCUUGUGUCUAGCUAGUUUUCUUCGAGAAGUGAAGUAGGUGUAGAAGUUCAAACUAGACUUCUCAUGCUGAUGAGUUCUUAAGCAACACUCCCCCUC